ensembl:snRNA U7 U7 small nuclear RNA
GAAUAUUUGCACUUUUAGAGUUUCUCCAGUAGGUUUCUUGAAGGUGAAACCCUC